rnacentral:rRNA from 1 species
UACGUAGGGGGCUAGCGUUGUCCGGAUUUAUUGGGCGUAAAGAGCGUGUAGGCGGCCAGGUAGGUCUGCUGUGAAAACUCGAGGCUCAACCUCGAGACGUCGGCGGAAACCAUCUGGCUAGAGUCCGGAAGAGGAGAGUGGAAUUCCUGGUGUAGCUGUGAAAUGCGCAGAUAUCAGGAAGAACACCCGUGGCGAAGGCGGCUCUCUGGGACGGUACUGACGCUGAGACGCGAAAGCGUGGGGAGCGAACAGG